UUUGCGUUGCUCUGGAGUGGGGAGGAUGAAUGUUGUGAUGGGUUGUACUGUGUAUGCAUGUGCCUGGGCAGCUCUCCAGCAGCAAUAACAACCACCAGCCUUUAAACAGCAAUUAUUGUAUUCAAAAAGUUGUUUUUUUUUCCCUUUAUAUUUCUCGCCGACUUCCCUAACUCGUGGGCCAUCCAGAAGGGAGAGCUUAAACUGUCAAGGAAGUAUCAGGCAGCAAAAUAAAGAUUGGGAGAUCAAAUGAAGUACCAAGAGCAUGCUGCAUUGUCAGAGGUGCUUUCAUUUGGAUGAGACAUUAAACUGAAGCCCUGUCUUCCAUCUGAGGUGGAUGGGAAAGAAUCUAUGGCACUAUUUUGAAGAAUUGCAGGUGAAAUGCAAAAAAAGACAAAACCCAGGGCCGAUCAAGAGUACAAAAAUAGUCUGAAAAUUUCCUCUCUGGUUCUGUCAGGUGAUCAAAACAGGAUCGCAAGAGUAGUCAUGUGGAGUCAUUUACUUCGUCAACUGCUGGAGGUGUUUUUCUUAGAGGGUGAUCUCUUCAUUCUAUAUCGAAAGCCGCAAACUUUGUGUAGAAAAUAAAUGCGAAGGAUGCACUUAGAGCCUGUGGCAGCUUAUAACAAGAGCUGUUUCUAGAGGUGAGGAUAAAGGUAGAGGGAGACUAGAUGAGAGGUGGCUAGACGAGAAAUUGGAAGGAGUGGCUAGGCAAAAGAUGACCUAUGGUGUUGAGGAUGAAGUGGGGUCCAUGAAACAAUGGAUAGCCAACAGGAGGAGGAAAACAAGCCAGAGGGAUGGGAGAAGGGGUGACAGGUUGCCUGAUAGCAGAAGGGAGUAGGGGAGCAAGUUGUGCUAUAAUAACUGGGAAGGUGGUGAGAGGCCAUGUUGGGCUGAUGGCAGGAAGCACCCCAAGUCAAAAAUGUGGGAGCUGAGAGUGAGGACAAAUUGAGGGAUGGCAAAUGGGAGAAUAAGAUGAAGCUUGCUGGAUGGUAGAAACCAAGUUAGCUGAAAUCAUAGAAUCAUGUAGCAUAGAUACAGGCCAUUCAGCCCAUUGUGACUAUCCUGGUUCUUUAAAAGGGCAGUCCAAUUUUAGGACCAUAUCUCCGCUUUUCCUCAUAACCUUGCAAAUUAGUUCUUUUCAAGUACGUGUCCAGUUGUUUUUGGAAGCUCCUAUGGAAUCUGAUUCCAUCACACUUUCAAGGUGAGUAUUCUUGGUCCAAACAGCCCUCUACAUAAAGACAUUUCUCUUCAUUUUCCCCUCCAAUGCUUUUGUCAAUUAUUUUAAAUUGGUGACCACUGUUUACUGACCCAUCUGCCAGAGGAAGUAAUUUCUCCCUGAUUGUUUUAUCAAAACCCCCUCCUAGUUUUGAAUACUGAAAACCUCUAUUAGGUCUCUUUUUAACCUUCUCUCUUCUACAGACAACCAUCCCAGCUUCUCCAGUCUCUCCACAUAAGUGAAGUCUCUCACCCCUGGGAUCAUCCUAAUAAGUCUACUGUAUUCUCCUCCAGGGCCUCAACAUCCUUCCUACCAUGGGUUGCCUAAAAUUAUACCCAAUAAUCCAGUUGAAACCUAACAAGAGAUUUGUAAGGAUAUAGCACAACUUUUUUGAAGGAAGAGUAAAGGGAUGGUAGACAAAGGAUGGCCAAUGGAAGUGGGUGGCUAGGUCAGGGAUGGUGGGAGGAAACACCAGAUUCCUAAAUUGGAGAAAAUAAAUUCCUUUCAGGCUGUUAGAUAUUGUUAAUUAAUUUUACAGGUUUGUAUUUGUUGAUUGUUUAGCGUGCACCCAAACUUGACUUUCCAAUUUUUGACUACCUUGUAAAUCCAAACAGUUUGAAUGGUUCUUUUGUACAAUAAAGUUGAAAUGUAACUGCU